GCCGGAGUGGCGGAACUGGUAUACGCGACGGACUCAAAAUCCGUUGCCCCUCGGGGCGUGUGGGUUCGAGUCCCACCUCCGGCACCA
rnacentral:tRNA from 2 species